rnacentral:lncRNA from 1 species
GCGGCCGCGGCUCCCCGAGCUGGGGCGGGCACGGCGGCUGCCUGGCUCCUUCCCGCACCGUCCUGGGUCACGGCCCCGGGCAGCCUAGGGGCCCUGCGGGAGGAGCGCGGGUCGCCAAACCGUCACCUUGCGCCUCGCGUGGGCGUGUAUCGCUUCGGAAACCCAAGUCUUCUCAGGCACCCGGUCCUUCCCAGGGGAGGAAUCGCUGGUCCUCCACGCCGCCCUAGGCGGCUCUCUGGGUCCUGCUGCCUCCCGCGCGUCCUUCCCCGCGCCUCGGCCGCGCGCCCAGGUUUUCCCGCACUCCUUGUUCCCCCGCCCCGGCUCGCGGGUCCCGGGCCUGCGGGUCUCCAGCGCCUGGGCCCGCGGUCCCGCCGCCGGCCCUGCCUCCCUUCCCACCGGGCCCCGCCCAGCCUCGGCCGCGCAGGGGCUCGGGGCCUGGCCUCUCAGUCUCCCUCCCACCUCCGCCCCCCCUCCUCCCAAAGAGUUGCUAUUUUUAGUAAAUCCUCCGCGCGCCUCCACCCGCUCAGCUCGCAGCUCGCAGCUCGCUGCCGCGCGCACCGCCCUCCCGAGCUCCCCCCGCCCCCCGCGCGGCGGCCGCGGCGGCGGCGCGUCCCGCACAUCGCGCAGCGCGCACCGAGCCGGCCCCGCCGCGCCCGCCACCCUCGCGGCGGUCUCCUCCUCAGGCGCCUGUCGCGGCCGGUAAGUGCCUGCUGGCGGAGCAGCGGCGGUCCCCGAGUCAACUUUCAAUCCCCCCUUCGCUUCUGCCUCGCCAUUCUCUUCUCCGCGAAAGAUGGCUGUUUGGAGAAGGGGGAGAAGUUAGGGGGUCGCCGACGUGGGGCGAAGGAGGGCGCGACAGCCUCAGCAGGAGCGGGCGGAGGUGAGUGGCACCACAGCCCGGUCCCCGGCUGGUGCCGGGGGAAGCCCUGGGAAUUGGGGGCCAAGCGUCCCCCGGAUGUACCGCUGUAUUGCCGGCUCGGAUUCCCCAGGUUAACAGCAUCCCAGUCCAGACCCCGGCACAGCUUGCCUUGCACCUCGAAACCCGGAGGCUGUGGUGGGUUGACAGGAACCUUUGUCGUAAGUUCAGCGCCAGGUGAUCUUUUUUCUGCUGGGCAAAAAGACAUUGGCUACUCAAGCCCAGGCGAGGGGUCGGUGACAUGA